AACGCAAGUUGCGCCCGAGGUCUAGUGCCGAGGGCAUGCCUGCCUGAGCGUCAUG
rnacentral:rRNA from 1 species